GCUUAACACAUGCAAGUCGAGGGGCAUCAGGAAGAAAGCUUGCUUUCUUUGCUGGCGACCGGCGCACGGGUGAGUAACACGUAUCCAACCUGCCCUUUACUCGGGGAUAGCCUUUCGAAAGAAAGAUUAAUACCCGAUGGCAUAAUGAUUCCGCAUGGUUUCAUUAUUAAAGGAUUCCGGUAAAGGAUGGGGAUGCGUUCCAUUAGGUUGUUGGUGAGGUAACGGCUCACCAAGCCUUCGAUGGAUAGGGGUUCUGAGAGGAAGGUCCCCCACAUUGGAACUGAGACACGGUCCAAACUCCUACGGGAGGCAGCAGUGAGGAAUAUUGGUCAAUGGGCGCUAGCCUGAACCAGCCAAGUAGCGUGAAGGAUGAAGGCUCUAUGGGUCGUAAACUUCUUUUAUAUAAGAAUAAAGUGCAGUAUGUAUACUGUUUUGUAUGUAUUAUAUGAAUAAGGAUCGGCUAACUCCGUGCCAGCAGCCGCGGUAAUACGGAGGAUCCGAGCGUUAUCCGGAUUUAUUGGGUUUAAAGGGAGCGUAGGUGGACUGGUAAGUCAGUUGUGAAAGUUUGCGGCUCAACCGUAAAAUUGCAGUUGAUACUGUCAGUCUUGAGUACAGUAGAGGUGGGCGGAAUUCGUGGUGUAGCGGUGAAAUGCUUAGAUAUCACGAAGAACUCCGAUUGCGAAGGCAGCUCACUGGACUGCAACUGACACUGAUGCUCGAAAGUGUGGGUAUCAAACAGGAUUAGAUACCCUGGUAGUCCACACAGUAAACGAUGAAUACUCGCUGUUUGCGAUAUACAGUAAGCGGCCAAGCGAAAGCAUUAAGUAUUCCACCUGGGGAGUACGCCGGCAACGGUGAAACUCAAAGGAAUUGACGGGGGCCCGCACAAGCGGAGGAACAUGUGGUUUAAUUCGAUGAUACGCGAGGAACCUUACCCGGGCUUAAAUUGCAGUGGAAUGAUGUGGAAACAUGUCAGUGAGCAAUCACCGCUGUGAAGGUGCUGCAUGGUUGUCGUCAGCUCGUGCCGUGAGGUGUCGGCUUAAGUGCCAUAACGAGCGCAACCCUUAUCUUUAGUUACUAACAGGUUAUGCUGAGGACUCUAGAGAGACUGCCGUCGUAAGAUGUGAGGAAGGUGGGGAUGACGUCAAAUCAGCACGGCCCUUACGUCCGGGGCUACACACGUGUUACAAUGGGGGGUACAGAAGGCAGCUAGCGGGUGACCGUAUGCUAAUCCCAAAAGCCUCUCUCAGUUCGGAUCGAAGUCUGCAACCCGACUUCGUGAAGCUGGAUUCGCUAGUAAUCGCGCAUCAGCCACGGCGCGGUGAAUACGUUCCCGGGCCUUGUACACACCGCCCGUCAAGCCAUGGGAGCCGGGGGUACCUGAAGUACGUAACCGCAAGGAUCGUCCUAGGGUAAAACUGGUGACUGGGGCUAA
rnacentral:rRNA from 1 species